GAUGAACGCUGGCGGCGUGCCUAAUACAUGCAAGUCGAACGCUGGAAAUCUAGCUUGCUAGAUUGAAGGAGUGGCGAACGGGUGAGUAAUACAUAAGCAACCUACCCACGAAGACUGGGAUAAUCUCUGGAAACGGGGACUAAUACCGGAUAGGUAAUCGGAAGGCAUCUUCUGAUUAUUAAAGGUUAAAAACACUGGUGGAUGGGCUUAUGGCGCAUUAGUUAGUUGGUGAGGUAACGGCCCACCAAGACGAUGAUGCGUAGCCGGCCUGAGAGGGUGAAGGGCAAAAUUGGAACUGGGACACGGCCAGAACUCCAAGGGGGGGAGGCAGAAGGGAAUUUUCGGAAAGGGGGGAAACCCGACCGGGGAAACGCGCGUGAGUGAUGACGGCCUUCGGGUUGUAAAGCUCUGUUGUAAGGGAAGAACGGUAGAUAGAGAAUAUCUAAAUGACGGUACCUUACCAGAAAGCCACGGCUAACUACGUG
rnacentral:rRNA from 1 species